AUCGCCCUCAACCUCACUUCUCUCUCACACUCUCAACAAAUCUCGCCUUCCUCAAUCUCACGAAUCUCUCUCAAUCACUCUCAGUAAAACUCUCUCAAUCGCUCUCAACCUCACUUAAAUCACUCUUAACGAACUCGCCUUCCUCAAUCUCUCUCACUUCUCACGACCUCUAACCCAUAGACGCAACAGAACGGAGAUUUAGAGGAAAAACAAACUGGUGCUCACCUUUGGCGGUGAUUCGGCGGCUCAGGGUUUCAAUUGGUGUCUUUGGUGUUCCAGAAGAGUAUCUCUGCAAACUACUUUGGAUGUACUGAGAAUCGAAUUGCCCUGUUUGAUGCUAAACUUGAAAAUGAUAUUCUGAACUCGUGCUUUCUUCUUCAUUCUUGUCUCUAUUCCAUUUUGGGAUUUUUCGAAUUUUAACACUUAGUAACUAUUUUGUGUUACUGCAGUGAAAUUUGGAGCAAAAGCUUCUUCAAAGUAAUUGAAGUUCCAUCAGAUUUCUUCAAGUCGGUGGAUAAAACAACUUCUUGACUAAUCUUUGACAACUUUUUAUCCGAUGGAAACAUUAUGACAUGGCUCAACAGCAGCCACAAGUUGGAAGUUCUUAACCGAAGCCACUGUAACACGGCCUUUGAAGUUUAGGCACCAGCAUUGCAGUUGUUCAUGCCAUUUGGGAGACUUGUUUCAGUGUGUUAAUGUUUGCAGGUCUACUCCAGUUGUUUCACUUGGGCACGGAAUGUCGCUUGAUGAAUGUUGACGGUUGUUAUGUCCUGCUAUGCUGCAAGUGCACAUUCAUUGGCAUGGUUGUGUUGGUGAUGCAACAUGUUGGAUGCCUUGGAGUGUUUCAUGCAAUUCCUGCAGGUCAUGGUUUGCUCUUGUUUUGUUGAGUUCAUGUCAUGGUUAACAUGGUUCCGAAUUGUUGAUUCACCGAGACAAGAAGCUCAUGUUUGAAGAUUUAAAAUCAGAACCUCAACCUGAGCUGGCUGCACUUGGGACCAAACAUUUAGAACAUUUGGACAAUAUUCGAGUCAUUGUGCCUUUCUGCUUCCCCCCUAGCGACCAAUUAUGUUUGUUUUCAUUUACGUCAACAAGAAGUCUUUUUCUUUGUUCAAUAGGUCCCUGUAUGCUUUGAUAAAUUCCAAACUCUCUUAGAAGAUCAUGAAGGACAACAAAGUGGUUAUUGUAGUAGUAAUUUUCUGUGUCACUUGCAUUUUUCCUUGCUAUUUGCAGGUUUUGCCAUCUCUGCGGUCCUGAUCCGGUUGUUAUGCAUUGCAGACCGGCACCAGCAUACAACUAGUGGGCAAUGUUGUUCUGCAGCAUGUUGGCUUCCUGAAUAGAGCAGAAUUUAUGAUAGGCUCGUGGUUGAUUAGAUUGAUGCAUUGCAAACUGGUUUUGGCUCGUAAACGGCUUGUUGAGCAUGGCCAUGGUUAGGAUUAGUAACUCUGAAUUUGGUAGGCGGCAAAGUUGCUAGAAUUAGGAUUAUUUGUGUUAGCUUUUUGUGUGUUGUAUUGUUAUGAAGGUUCUAUUUUGUGAAUUUGAAAAUUGGAUGUAACAAAUGAGAAUCCGCUGUAAUUUCGGGGAUUGCCCAAGGUUGUAGCAGCUUUGAAAUGUGAAUGUGUUGGUUUGAAUUUUGCAUUUCGUUUCAAACAUUGUAAUCAAAGGUCCGUGAAAUGACGCAAUGGCUUUGGUUUGAAUGA